UUCUCUGACAGUGAGAGAGAAGAGUCUGAGUAUGAAAGUGAUGGGGAGCAAUUUGGAAGUCCUCCUCGCCGGAAAAGGGUUGAGGAGCCAGAGCAGGAAUAUGAAGAAGAAGAAGAAGAAGAAGAAGAAGAAGAAGAAGAGCGCUAUGAAGAAGCAGAAGUGGAUGGAGCCUCAGAAGAGGAAGAGGACGCUGAGGAGCCAAAGCAAAAGACCAAGGAGUUUGGAGGCAGUCUCAAGCGAGCGGGGAUUGAAUCAGAAGAGGAAUCCCCUCCAAGAAAGAUCCCAACCCACCGACGAAUGGCAGUUGUUUAUGAUAGUGAUGAGGAAUGAAUACUUCCUGGGGUC
rnacentral:misc_RNA from 1 species